CCUACGGGUGGCUGCAGUGGGGGAUAUUGCACAAUGGGGGAAACCCUGAUGCAGCGACGCCGCGUGGGCGAAGAAGUAUUUCUGUAUGUAAAGCCCUAUCAGCAGGGAAGAAGAAAUGACGGUACCUGAGUAAGAAGCACCGGCUAAAUACGUGCCAGCAGCCGCGGUAAUACGUAGGGUGCAAGCGUUAUCCGGGUUUACUGGGUGUAAAGGGAGCGCAGGCGGCACGGCAAGCUUGAUGUGAAAGCCCGCGGCGCAACAGCGGGGCUGCAUUGGAUACUACCGGGCUGGAGAGCCGAUGAGGUAGGCGGAAUGCCUAGUGUAGCGGUGAAAUGCGUAGAUAUUAGGAGGAACACCAGUGGCGAAGGCGGCCUACUGGACGGUGACUGACGCUGAGGCUCGAAAGCGUGGGGAGCAAACAGGAUUAGAUACCCGUGUAGUC
rnacentral:rRNA from 1 species